GGAGGCGAUAGCGGUAGCGGCAGCGGCGGACAGACAGACUGCGGAUCGACGCACAGACCCAAGGAUUCUCAAGCUUGGGAGCUGGCGGCAGUGCUGUGCGCGCCGCCUGGCCUGAGGGGUGGCCACCUUGCCAUGUCGCUCCGCACCCACUGAACUAGGAAAGCCCAAGGAUGUCCGCUCUGAGGAAGGCUUCCCCACCAUCUGAGGCCCGGCCAUAGUACUACGCGAUCUCACAGCAGCCUGCGAACCCCAGCCUGCACCUUGCCAGCCAAAAUGGGGACGGCUCAGGUUCUGCCCGGCAUUCUGCAGAAGCAUUGCUGCAUCUUACCAGACAGGAACACAGAGUCUCAGUGCACCCUUUGCGGAGAGCCAGAAGGUGAGUACUGCACGUCUACUCUGGUGGGCAGGGCACCAUAGUGCCUCAUGCGUUAGAUUGGCAGAGACAAGCUGCUGCCACAGAUGAGUUGAUUGGACAGUUUUGAAGUUGAAAGUAUAUUCUUUGUGGUGGUUGAUGAGCAAUGUGGAUGAGACAAAACAGAACUCGUGAGUGCCAGGCAAGAAUUUCUUCUGAUACGAAAUCAACAUGGUUGACCAGUUGGCCGUAUUUCUCUUUUUUUAAUUUCAUAUUGUGCUCGGAAAGUUUCAGCUAGUUUUCUCCAGAUAAUAGAUGUCAAUAUGCAUUUGAUAGCUUUAGAAAUAUUACCCAAACCUCCCGAUGAAGCUCACAUCAAAUGAGGCUUUGUGAAAUUACUCCUAAUUGCCAAUGACUGAACCUGAGAGGAGGUGCCAGUGAGCGCAAGCUGCCAUGCGGACGGAUGUGUCAGCCAGGUCCUGUGGUUGAGACAUUCCAGAGCGGAGCAGCUCCUGGGAUGGUGCCCAGUCAAAAUGACAUUUCCAAACAGUGAGAGCAGAUUUACAUGGUGCUUGUCAGUGGUAAGACGAAGAAGAAAGGAAAUAUGGGAGCCGUUCAGGGGACUUGAGAAGCUGGGUUUUGAUGCUGUGUGUUUUAAAGAGAUACACCAACUGCAAAACUAGCCACCCUUGGGACUUCAGGAAGACAUAGUAGCUCAGGAGUGGCCCUGGGGUCAUGCUCCAGCCCCUAUCUCCUCUCCUAACACUGGCUCUGGAACCUGGGUGUCAAGAGACUUGAAUGCCUUGUAGACAGACCAGCUGAACAGACUCUCCUGCAAAACAGCUCAAGUGCCAAGCUAGUCAGAAAAAUAUGACCAGUAGGCAAUUUCUUCAGUCUGGUGGCAAAGGAGUAUUUUGACAAAGUUUUCCAAAUUCUUUUUGUGUCAUUAAGCGUGUGAGUGCAUAACACAAAUUCAGUGGUGAUAAGGUCUGGUAUUUUACAUAAAUCUCUGUCCCCGGUCUUUUCGGGAUAAUGAGAAAAGUGUAACCUUCAAAGGAAUGAUCCUCUGUCCUAAGGCUACUGUGAGGCUCUCCUUCUUUUGGUCCUUGGAGGCACUGGGAGCUCUAUCAUUUCUUAUCAUUACAGCUUUUCUGUGUUAUCCCCAGCCUGGGAGCAAUCACUGUGUUCUGCUUCAAGUCCAAAGUUCCCUUCCCCCACUCCUGUUAAAGAUUCCAGCAUGCUAGAGGUACUAGAUGGGACAGGAAGUAAACCUCCAAGGUCGAAGCUUGAGCAAAUUCCAAUGAGUUUCAUUUGACAUUUUUUUAUAACACAAGUCUGUUGUCAGCUGAAGAUAGUGCUUGGCAUGUGAUGUGCGGUUGUCCCCAGGGGUGCCUUCUGAUUCAAGGAAAACAGGUUUUGGAUGUUGGGCAUGUCCCGGCUGAUGGCUAGAUCAUUACAGACAGUGUGGGAGCCAAGGGGUGUGGAUCCCUUUUUAGAAUUUCCAGGGCAGUGACACUAUGCCUAGGAAGGACCCAGGUCUCUUCACUGUGAGAGUCAGUGUCUGGACCCCGCAUUGUUGGAUGGUUAGGUCCUCGUCUCUCUCCUAGACACUUGGGGGAUACUACCCUGUGCCUGUCCUUGUUUAACAUCCACAUCACACAUUUUGUCAGCACACGAUACAGUGUGUAUUGCUCUAG